AAUCAAAAAAGGAGGCAGCCACCCCUCUCCCUCUAUAUAAAGAGCUUGGCCGGCCACCCCCUUCACCUUUGGCUCUCAUUUCUCUUCCUCCACUCCCUCACACUCUCCUCCACCACUUCCCCACGAAAUGCUGCUGCCCCUUGCUUGCAUGGCCGGCCAUGGCCAUGGAAAGCCACCAAGAUGGAGCUCCCCUCCUUCCUCAAGCUCAUCCUCACCAUGAGAGCAUCUCUCUCACUCUCUUCUCCCCUAACCUUUGAUGAAUCCAGCUCCCUUUCUCUUCUCCCCUCUCACAAGAUUGGAUCUUGAUGCAGGUGCAUGUUGGUCCAAGCAUGGAGAAGGUUGAGCUAUCCUCAGAUCUGAAGUUCUUGAGCAAAGUUCGUCCAAAACCUUGCAGUAAUUUCUGUAUCUUGCUGUUUCAGAUUCUGGUACGAAUUUGUAAAAUCCGUCAAAUCUUGUGUGCAGAUCCAAAUCGGGUGAUUCCAAGUUCCACAGAUAGGUAUUGAAAAGAUCUACAACUUGGUGUUGGUCUCAUCCUCAAAUUCGUUACGGAUUUUGCAUGAUCAAGAUCUGGUCAGAUCUGACUUUGUCGAAUUAAACCAGGAGCUUGGAAACUAAUUUUUGAAUGAAACCAACUGGGAUGUUAUCUACCAGGGGAUAUUUGGUUUAUACCAUGGUGAUACCCGAGAGAGGCAAUUGCUAAGUUGUGAUGCA